rnacentral:rRNA from 1 species
ACUCAAAUGAAUUGACGGGGGCCCGCACAAGCGGAGGAACAUGUGGUUUAAUUCGAUGAUACGCGAGGAACCUUACCUGGGUUUAAAUGCAGGACGCAAGUCACGUGAAAGCGAGACCCUCCUUCGGGACGGACUGCAAGGUGCUGCAUGGUUGUCGUCAGCUCGUGCCGUGAGGUGUCGGGUUAAGUCCCAUAACGAGCGCAACCCUCAUCGUUAGUUACCAGCGGGUAAUGCCGGGGACUCUAACGAGACUGCCACCGUAAGGUGAGAGGAAGGUGGGGAUGACGUCAAAUCAGCACGGCCCUUAUAUCCAGGGCUACACACGUGUUACAAUGGCCAGUACAAAGGGCAGCUACCUGGUGACAGGAUGCUAAUCUCAAAAACUGGUCUCAGUUCGGAUCGAAGUCUGCAACUCGACUUCGUGAAGUUGGAUUCGCUAGUAAUCGCGCAUCAGCAAUGGCGCGGUGAAUACGUUCCCGGGCCUUGUACACACCGCCCGU